rnacentral:rRNA from 1 species
AGAUUGAACGCUGGCGGCAGGCCUAACACAUGCAAGUCGAGCGGCAGCACGGGUACUUGUACCUGGUGGCGAGCGGCGGACGGGUGAGUAAUGCCUAGGAAUCUGCCUGGUAGUGGGGGAUAACGCUCGGAAACGGACGCUAAUACCGCAUACGUCCUACGGGAGAAAGCAGGGGACCUUCGGGCCUUGCGCUAUCAGAUGAGCCUAGGUCGGAUUAGCUAGUUGGUGAGGUAAUGGCUCACCAAGGCGACGAUCCGUAACUGGUCUGAGAGGAUGAUCAGUCACACUGGAACUGAGACACGGUCCAGACUCCUACGGGAGCAGCAGUGGGAAUAUUGGACAAGUGGGCGAAAGCCUGAUCCAGCCAUGCCGCGUGUGUGAAGAAGGUCUUACGGAUUAGUAAAGCUACGUUUAAGUGGAGGAAGGCAGUUACCUAAUACGUAUCUGUUUGACGUUACGACAGAAUAAG